CCGGCACGGGUGAGUAACACGUAUCCAACCUGCCGUCUACUCUUGGCCAGCCUUCUGAAAGGAAGAUUAAUCCAGGAUGGCAUCAUGAGUUCACAUGUCCGCAUGAUUAAAGGUAUUUUCCGGUAGACGAUGGGGAUGCGUUCCAUUAGAUAGUAGGCGGGGUAACGGCCCACCUAGUCAACGAUGGAUAGGGGUUCUGAGAGGAAGGUCCCCCACAUUAGAACUGAGACACGGUCCAA
rnacentral:rRNA from 1 species